ACAAAAUCCAUUAAUUAAAUACUGCUGAUGGUGUUUCUUGACCCACUAUUACUUUCAUACUCUAGAUGGCAGCAGCAUCACAAAAUACAGAAAACUGAGAUUCAUUGUAUUCCUGCUGUGCCCAAAUAUGCAGCCACUUCAAGUUUUUGGAGGUUAAAGUUGGAGAGGUCAAAAUGCAGAUUUCCUGAAAGCAUUUUCCCAUCACAAAAGAAGAAAAAAAAAGCUGAGGGUGGCUGUUAAAUAUCAUCUGCAAUUAGAGGUUCCAGCUGAGCAGGAGGCUGAUGCAGAGGUCGCAGCAGGAGGGACUGGAGGUGGAACCACACAACCUCAGCUCCUCGGAUGGAGACAAGGCCCCGAUGGGAUGGAAAGCUCAAGGAGUCCAGGAAUGUCUUCCUAUCCAAAUUGUUACCUGCUUGUCACUCGGAAGAAGAGGUGAAUGAAUGCAAGAAGCAGGUGGUGAUGCUGGUACUGUGCUGCUCCUCCAGCCUUCCUUCCCAGCCCAGGGAGAAGCCCCUGUGCUGGGGUGCACAGGCUGCUCCCAAGCUCUGCAGUCAGAUGUGCUGAGGUUGCUAUUUUCUGGUGAGUACCGCGUGCUGCUUGGCCUGUGAAGCGUGCUACCAGCUUUUUGUCUUGGUGGUCCUUUCUAACAUGGUGG
rnacentral:lncRNA from 1 species